AUUGAACGCUGGCGGCAUGCUUUACACAUGCAAGUCGAACGGUAACAGGCCGCAAGGUGCUGACGAGUGGCGAACGGGUGAGUAAUGCAUCGGAACGUGCCCAGUCGUGGGGGAUAACGCAGCGAAAGCUGUGCUAAUACCGCAUACGAUCUAUGGAUGAAAGCGGGGGACCGUAAGGCCUCGCGCGAUUGGAGCGGCCGAUGUCAGAUUAGGUAGUUGGUAGGGUAAAGGCCUACCAAGCCGACGAUCUGUAGCUGGUCUGAGAGGACGACCAGCCAUACUGGGACUGAGACACGGCCCAGACUCCUACGGGAGGCAGAAGUGGGGAAUUUUGGACAAUGGGCGCAAGCCUGAUCCAGCAAUGCCGCGUGCAGGAAGAAGGCCUUCGGGUUGUAAACUGCUUUUGUACGGAACGAAACGGUCUGGGUUAAUACCCUGGGCUAAUGACGGUACCGUAAGAAUAAGCACCGGCUAACUACGUGCCAGCAGCCGCUGUAAGAC
rnacentral:rRNA from 1 species